rnacentral:rRNA from 1 species
UGGGGAAUCAUGGUCAAUGGGCGAAAGCCUGAACCUGCGACGCCGCGUGAGUGAUGAAGGUCGUAAGAUCGUAAAACUCUUUUCAGGGAUCUUAAAGCACAACCGUCAACAACUGCUGUGUGUGACUCUCCCUGGAAGAAGCCCCAGCCAACUACGUGCCAGCAGCUGCGGUAAUACGUAGGGGGCGAGCGUUAUUCGGAAUUACUGGGUGUAAAGGGUAUGUAGGCGGCCCUUCAAGUCGCGUGUCAAAGUCCAGUGCUCAACGCUGGGUGUGCGCGCGAUACUGACGGGCUUGAGGGCUGUAGAGGUGAGCGGAAUUCCCGGUGUAGUGGUAAAAUACGUAGAGAUCGGGAGGAACACCAGCGGCGCAGGCGGCUCACUAGACAGUGUCUGACGCUAAGAUACGAAAGCGUGGGGAGCAAACA